rnacentral:rRNA from 1 species
GCAGAAUAAGCACCGGCUAACUCCGUGCCAGCAGCCGCGGUAAUACGGAGGGUGCAAGCGUUAAUCGGAAUUACUGGGCGUAAAGCGCGCGCAGGCGGUUUNNUAAGUCAGAUGUGAAAUCCCCGGGCUCAACCUGGGAACUGCAUUUGANACUGGCNGGCUAGAGUCNGGUAGAGGGGGGUGGAAUUCCAGGUGUAGCGGUGAAAUGCGUAGAUAUCUGGAGGAACACCGGUGGCGAAGGCGGCCCCCUGGACNNNNACUGACGCUCAGGNGCGAAAGCGUGGGGAGCAAA